rnacentral:tRNA from 1 species
GGCUCCGUAGUUUAAUGGUAGAACGUUUGACUCCAGAUCAAACGGUUGCAGGUUCGAUUCCUGUCGGGGUCA